ACGGUUUGUAAAUCAACAUAUUGGUUACAUAAGCAUGGAAGCAUCCCUGGAGGUGAAACAACGAAUUGCUGUGUGUAGUCUUUGCCCAUCUCCCACGAUGGGCUUUUUUUUAA
rnacentral:other from 1 species